rnacentral:rRNA from 1 species
UGCAGAAUCCCGUGAACCAUCGAAUCUUUGAACGCAAGUUGCGCCCGACGCCUUCGGGCUGAGGGCACGCCUGCCUGGGCGUCACGCAUCGCGUCGCCCCCUCCCAAUCCCUCGUGGAUCGGUGAUGGGACGGAAAAUGGCCUCCCGUUAGCUCGGUUGGCCCAAAAGGGAUCCCUCGAAGACGGAUGUCACAACCAGUGGUGGUUGAAAAUAUCAUUUUGCUGUUGUGCUUCACCCUGUCUCUUGUAGGGCAUCGUUUUAACCCAACGGCGUCUAGUGCGCCUUCGACCGCGACCCCAGGUCAGACGGGAUUACCCGCUGAGUUUAAGCAUAUCAAUAAGCGGUGGAGAAGAAACUUACAAGGAUUCCCCUAGUAACGGCGAGCGAACCGGGAAUAGCCCAACUUGAGAAUCGGACGGCUUCGUCGUUCGA